rnacentral:rRNA from 1 species
CGCCUAACACAUGCAAGUCGCACGCGAAAAGGGGCUUCGGCCUCUGAGUAGAGUGGCGAACGGGUGAGUAACACGUGGGUAAUCUACCUCAGGGUGGGGAAUAACUCGGGGAAACUCGGGCUAAUACCGCAUAAUGCAGCGGCACCGCAUGGUGAUAGUUGUUAAAGCGGGGGAUCGCAAGACCUCGCGCCUAGAGAGGAGCCCGCGCCCGAUUAGCUAGUUGGCGAGGUAAUGGCUCACCAAGGCAAUGAUCGGUAGCCGGUCUGAGAGGACGGUCGGCCACACUGGCACUGAGACACGGGCCAGACUCCUACGGGAGGCAGCAGUGGGGAAUCUUGGGCAAUGGGCGAAAGCCUGACCCAGCGACGCCGCGUGGGGGAGGAAGUCCUUCGGGACGUUGCCCU